rnacentral:rRNA from 1 species
UCAUAGGUGACUGUGGCUAACGCAGGGAAGUGAAACAUCUCAGUACCUGCAGGAAAGGAUAUUCCGUGAGUAGUGGCGAGCGAAAGCGGAUGAUGGCCAAACCUUGCGCGUGUGAUACCCGUCGGGGGUUGCGCGCGGGGUGUUGCGGGAUCGCGUGCGCCGGCUCCGACGGGCCGGCCGGCAGUUGCAGAAAACCAUGUGUCAGGGGAACCGGGUUGAAUACCGGGCCGCAGAGGGUGAGGGCCCCGUACCUGAACGCGCAUGGUCUGCCGAUCGCGUCUCCCAAGUAGCACGGGUCCCGUGGAACCCCGUGCGAAUCCGCCCAGACCGUUGGGUAAGCCUGAAUAUUCCUGUCUGACCGAUAGCGAACGAGUACCGUGAGGGAAAGGUGAAAAGUACCCCGGGAGGGGAGUGAAACAGUCUCUGAAACCGUGCGCCUACAAUCCGUCGGAGCCCUUUUGUGGGGUGACGGCGUGCCUAUCGAAAAAUGAGUCUGCGAGUCAGUGGCAUGUGGCGAGCAUAACCCGUGUGGGGUAUGCGUAGCGAAGGCGAGUCUUAAAAGGCGUUUGAGUCGCGUGUCCUGGACCCGAAGCGGGAUGAUCUAGCCCUGAGCAGGUUGAAGCGCGGGUAAGACCGCGUGGAGGACCGAACCCACCUGGGUUGAAAACCGGGGGGAUGACUUGGGGCUAGGGGUGAAAGGCCAAUCAAAUUCCGUGAUAGCUGGUUCUCUCCGAAAUGCAUUUGGGUGCAGCGUCGGGUCAUUACGUCCCGGGGGUAGAGCUACUGGAUGCUUGCGGGCCCGUAUCGGGUACCAACAGCAACCAAACUCCGAAUACCGGUGACGCGUAUCCCGGCAGUGAGUCGGCGGGGGAUAAGCUUCGUCGUCGAAAGGGAAACAGCCCAGACCGUCGUCUAAGGUCCCGAAGCGUGUGCUAAGUGGGAAAGGAUGUGGAGUCGCAUAGACAGCCAGGAGGUUGGCUCAGAAGCAGCCACCCUUGAAAGAGUGCGUAACAGCUCACUGGUCUAGUGGUUCCGCGCCGACAAUGUAGCGGGGCUCAAGCACACCACCGAAGACGCGGCAGUAUUUUGUACUGGGUAGGAGAGCGUCCCAUGAGGGGCGAAGCGGCCGUGUGAACGCGCCGUGGACUUCAUGGGAGUGAGAAUGCAGACAUGAGUAGCGAGAGACGGGUGAAGAUCCCGUCCGCUGGAUGACCAAGGGUUCCAGGGCCACGUUCAUCGUCCCUGGGUGAGUCGGGUCCUAAGGCGAGGCCGACAGGCGUAGUCGAAUGGAUGAACGGGUCGAUAUUCCCGUACCGGCUUUCAGCCGCCAAAACCGAGGCUUGGAGUACUAACCUCCGGGUCCGGGCUUACUGCUCCUUCGGGGGCGGGAUGCCCUGGCCUGUUGGGACCGAUCCUUGUAGUAGGUCAGCGCAGGAGUGACGCAGAAGGGUAGCCGGCCGCGGAGGUGGUCUUCCGUGGUCAAGCACGCAGGGCGUGGGACAGGCAAAUCCGUCCCGCAUGGGUCCGAGGUGCGAUGAUGGGGGCCUUAUGGCCCGAUAUCCGGUGAUCCCGGCUGCCGAGAAAAGCUUCGGCGUCAGGCUCAAAGCCGCCCGUACCCCAAACCGACACAGGUGGUCAGGUAGAGAAUACCAAAGCGAUCGAGCGAAUCCUGGUCAAGGAACUCGGCAAAUCACUCCCGUUCCUUCGGUUUAAGGGAGACCCCCGAUGGUGAACACACUUGCUGUGGGAGCUUUUGGGGGUGGCACAGACCAGGGGGUAGCGACUGUUUACCAAAAACACAGGUGCAUGCGAAGGCGCAAGCCGCUGUAUAUGCACUGACGCCUGCCCGGUGCCGGAAGGUUAAGAGGAUCCGUCAGCCUUCGGGUGAAGCGGUGAAUUCAAGCCCCGGUAAACGGCGGUGGUAACUAUAACCAUCCUAAGGUAGCGAAAUUCCUUGUCGGGUAAGUUCCGACCUGCACGAAUGGCGUA